AGAGUUUGAUCAUGGCUCAGAGUGAACGCUGGCGGCGUGCUUAACACAUGCAAGUCGAACGAGAACGGUCCUUCGGGAUGUCAGCUAAGUGGCGGACGGGUGAGUAAUGUAUAGUUAAUCUGCCCUUUAGAGAGGAAUAACUACUGGAAACGGUAGCUAAUACCUCAUACUCCUUUUACAUUAAUUGUAAUUGGGAAAUGUUUUUUCGCUAAAGGAUGAGACUAUAUGGUAUCAGGUAGUUGGUGGGGUAAGAGCCUACCAAGCCAAUGACGCCUAGCUGGUCUGAGAGGAUGAUCAGCCACACUGGAACUGAGACACGGUCCAGACUCCUACGGGAGGCAGCAGUGGGGAAUAUUGCACAAUGGAGGAAACUCUGAUGCAGCAACGCCGCGUGGAGGAUGACGCAUUUCGGUGUGUAAACUCCUUUUAUAUGGGAAGANAA
rnacentral:rRNA from 1 species